CACUGACAUCCGAUUCUAUACCAGGUACACCUAAGUUCUAUUCAAGCUAACUGUUUAAAAUAUACCAAGGUCACCAUCAGUUAAAUUUCAAGUGUUUCCAGUCUGUUACGUUUCGGUGUUGUCAGUGUGUUGUUUUCUGUUAUGCGUUUCCUGUUUUACUUUGAAAGUCUGUGUUAUCUUAGUGUUUUCAGAUUACGUUUCCCUGUCUCGUCAGUUCUGAGUUGCCCCAGCUGUGUUUCCCUCUUGUUGUCCAUUUUCCUGAUUGCUCCCUCUAGGUAUUUAAACCCUGUGUUUCAGUGUGUCAUGGUCGCGAUCUCCCCCGUGUUGUAAAUAGUUUGGUGUUUUGUUGUAAAUAAAUAGUUUGUUUUAAAUAGCUGUAAAUAGAUUUGUCGAUACUUUCGUUUUGGCAUUUUGGUGGUGAGCUUUAGUGGGGGGUUUUUUUUGUGUGUUUUUUUUUUCUUUAUUUUUACUUUUUUCGUGUUGCACUCCGGUUGCCUAGGCCGGGGUGUAACAAGUCUUAAUGAAACACAAUAGAAAUUUACUUUUUCUCUGCUGACUGUAUGUUUCAUGUAGAUGCUUUAGUAUUUAAACGAUAUCCUAAUGCUACAGAUAAAAUACAACACCAAAUAGACUCUUAAUCAGACUAUUUUAUACAGCAUACCAUUAGCAUAUUUGUCACAGUUUAUUUUAUGCCAAUGUUGGAUGUUAAUUAAUGAUUGACACGAUGUAUGUCUCUCUCGUGAAUAGAUUUCCAAGCUAUGCUCAUUUGAUGGCAUUUUGGUUUUUGAUUGAGCCUUGCAGCUAUAAAAUGAUCCGGGUUUCAAGAGCCAAGUCAGCUGCCAAUCGGAACGAAGAAGUGUUGACACCUGCACGCACAUCAACGAGGCAGCUGCUACAGCCAAUUGACGAGUUUUUUCCUUUUCCUGGUUUUCCUGUCAGUUGGUUUGAAGGAGCGGGACCUGGCACACCGAUUUAACAUACACCAGUCCACAGUUAGCCGCAUUAUUGCAACAUGGACUUCUUAGCUGACAAUACUUAAUUACAGAACUGGUACUUGAGUGCUGAUAGUUGAGUUUAAGUUACUGAUAAUUCAAAUUCAUUGUAAAUGUUGAAUGUUAAUACUUUUUAAUUAUACUACUAUAUUACUAUUCAG
ensembl:lncRNA